AGUGAACGCUGGCGGUAGGCCUAACACAUGCAAGUCGAACGGCAGCACAGUAAGAGCUUGCUCUUACGGGUGGCGAGUGGCGGACGGGUGAGGAAUACAUCGGAAUCUACUUUUUCGUGGGGGAUAACGUAGGGAAACUUACGCUAAUACCGCAUACGACCUACGGGUGAAAGCAGGGGAUCUUCGGACCUUGCGCGAUUGAACGAGCCGAUGUCGGAUUAGCUAGUUGGCGGGGUAAAGGCCCACCAAGGCGAUGAUCCGUAGCUGGUCUGAGAGGAUGAUCAGCCACACUGGAACUGAGACACGGCCCAGACUCCUACGGGAGGCAGCAGUGGGGAAUAUUGGACAAUGGGCGCAAGCCUGAUCCAGCCAUACCGCGUGGGUGAAGAAGGCCUUCGGGUUGUAAAGCCCUUUUGUUGGGAAAGAAAAGCAGCAGGUUAAUACCCCGCUGUUCUGACGGUACCCAAAGAAUAAGCACCGGCUAACUUCGUG
rnacentral:rRNA from 1 species